GCACUCUGCAAAGUGCAACAGAAUCACAGGAUCAGAAUCACAGAACUCUGAGGACAGAAGUGAGACCUGCAAGAGGACACAGGACUCAGAGGGAUGCAGCUGAAGUGGUAACUGUGGGUCAUGCAAACAACUUGGCAUAUCACACCACCAGGAACACCAAGAUUCACACACAGUCCUGAUUUUGGGUUCUGCUCAGUCUGGAGAGGGACAGACUGUGAAAAAACCCAGACGUUACCUGGCACUCACCAAAACCAGCCUGGAGGCCACGGUGCUUCACCCUAAGAGAUAACCCUACCUCGGGGAUCUAAGCUACGAGCUCUCCAGCCCAAAACUGCCCCUCUCCCGGCUGCACGGUGGGUUCCUGCAGCCACUAGAGGACAGCCGUGUCCUCAACAAUCCAGCUGUGCUCCCGGCCCCGGAAAAUCCACCUCUGCCAGAGGGACACAGCGCUCCCUGCACUGCCAGCACCCUCCUCCCCCAGCCACGUCUCCACAGAGGACAUUUCCACAUGACAUAAAGACCUCACACCUCUGGCCCACGGGGCAUGUUCUGGAAGGUGCUAAGAACCCUCCUGUGUCUGGAAGGUAAUGAAAGCCUGAGUGUUCAGCCCUUCCCAGGAUGGGGCUCUUAGAGAGUCUCCUCUACCUGUAACUACACUGAGUCACCUCCAAGCUGUUUUCCCACGGCCUUCUCUGACCCUGAGCAAUCACUGCCUGGUUUGGGCAGAAAUCCAACACCUUCACCUCAAGUCAGGAAGGCUCUACACGAUCAGUGCCUCUGGAAAUUAAGACAGCUGAGCCUCCCAGGUUUGCAGUAACCAGCCUGAUUUCCCAACUGAGAUAUCACAUUACAGAGAAAAAACGUUCGCAUUCCGUCCUUCCUCUGGUCGUUGCUCCCCAGGAGUCCUCUGUCAGUUCUUACCCCUGGUUUUGUAGGGGUCUGGGGGCCAAGGGGCUCAGUUCUUCCUACCUCAGGACAGGUGGCUUGUCUCUGGUUUGGGGUCACGAUCAGAUUCGUCAUGACAAAGAAGACGCUUUCACCCUAAUAUAAACAGAGUAAAGCAGGAAA